UUGAUAUAUUGAUAGGCUGUUUAGUGUCUCUAAUGCGGCAUUAGUUUGAUGCUAUAUUAAAUUUUAAAAAGUCGAUAGUUAUAUUGAUCAUGUAUCACAGAAGCGUGUGUUUAUUUUAAAAAUACAAGCUGGAUCUCAUGCUAUUCCAUGCCAAAACAAAAUUUAGGAUAGAUCAAGCUACAAAGCUAUACUGGCAAUAAAAGCUCUUUAUAAUA